AUACGUAUGGUGCAAGCGUUAUCCGGAUUUACUGGGUGUAAAGGGAGCGUAGACGGAGUGGCAAGUCUGAUGUGAAAACCCGGGGCUCAACCCCGGGACUGCAUUGGAAACUGUCAAUCUAGAGUACCGGAGAGGUAAGCGGAAUUCCUAGUGUAGCGGUGAAAUGCGUAGAUAUUAGGAGGAACACCAGUGGCGAAGGCGGCUUACUGGACUGUAACUGACGCUGAGUCACGAAAGCGUGGGUAGC
rnacentral:rRNA from 1 species